AUUGAACGCUGGCGGAAUGCUUUACACAUGCAAGUCGAACGGCAGCACGGGGCAACCUGGUGGCGAGUGGCGAACGGGUGAGUAAUACAUCGGAACGUGCCCAAUCGUGGGGGAUAACGUAGCGAAAGUUACGCUAAUACCGCAUACGAUCUACGGAUGAAAGCGGGGGAUCGCAAGACCUCGCGCGAAUGGAGCGGCCGAUGUCAGAUUAGGUAGUUGGUGGGGUAAAGGCUCACCAAGCCGACGAUCUGUAGCUGGUCUGAGAGGAAGACCAGCCACACUGGGACUGAGACACGGCCCAGACUCCUACGGGAGGCAGCAGUGGGGAAUUUUGGACAAUGGGCGCAAGCCUGAUCCUGCCAUUCCGCGUGCAGGAUGAAGGCCUUCGGGUUGUAAACUGCUUUUGUACGGAACGAAACGGCUCUCUCUAAUACAGGGGCUAAUGACGGUACCGUAAGAAUAAGCACCGGCUAACUACGUGCCAGCAGCCGCCGUAACAC
rnacentral:rRNA from 1 species